GAUGAAGAACUUAGCGAAAUGCGAUACGUAAUGUGAAUUGCAGAAUUCAGUGAAUCAUCGAAUCUUUGAACGCAUAUUGCGCUCUCUGGUAUUCCGGAGAGCAUGCUUGUUUGAGUAUCAGUAAACACCUCAACUCCCUUUUCUUUUUUGAAAUGGGAGCUGGACUUGAGUGAUCCCAACACUUUUCUCACUGGAAAGUGGUGGGUCACUUGAAAUGCAGGUGCAGCUGGACUUUUCUCUGAGCUAUAAGCAUAUCUAUUUAGUCUGCCUAAAAAACAGAUUAUUACCUUUGCUGCAGCUAACAUAAAGGAGAUGAGUUCUUGUGCUGACUGAUGCAGGAUUCACAGAGACAGCUUUGCGGCUGACUUUGUAAACUCGAUCUCAAAUCAAGUAAGACUACCCGCUGAACUUAAGCAUAUCAAUAAGCGGAGGA
rnacentral:misc_RNA from 1 species